UACUGUAGGUAGGUGUAAAGGAUAGAUAAUAGACAGUAACAGCAGUAUACUGUAGGUAGGUGUAAAGGAUAGAUAAUAGACAGUAACAGCAGUAUACUGUAGGUAGGGGUAAAGGAUAGAUAAUAGACAGUAACAGCAGUAUACUGUAGGUAGGGGUAAAGGAUAGAUAAUAGACAGUAACAGCAGUAUACUGUAGGUAGGGGUAAAGGAUAGAUAAUAGACAGUAACAGCAGUAUACUGUAGGUAGGGGUAAAGGAUAGAUAAUAGACAGUAACAGCAGUAUACUGUAGGUAGGGGUAAAGGAUAGAUAAUAGACAGUAACAGCAGUAUACUGUAGGUAGGGGUAAAGGAUAGAUAAUAGACAGUAACAGCAGUAUACAGUAGGUAGGGGUAAAGGAUAGAUAAUAGACAGUAACAGCAGUAUACUGUAGGUAGGGGUAAAGGAUAGAUAAUAGACAGUAACAGCAGUAUACUGUAGGUUGGGGUAAAGGAUAGAUAAUAGACAGUAACAGCAGUAUA